GACGAACGCUGGCGGCGUGCUUAACACAUGCAAGUCGAACGCUGAAGCUCAGCUUUUGUUGGGUGGAUGAGUGGCGAACGGGUGAGUAACACGUGAGUAACCUGCCCCCUUCUUUGGGAUAACGCCCGGAAACGGGUGCUAAUACUGGAUAUUCACUGGUCUUCGCAUGGGGGUUGGUGGAAAGGGUUUUUCUGGUGGGGGAUGGGCUCGCGGCCUAUCAGCUUGUUGGUGGGGUGAUGGCCUACCAAGGCUUUGACGGGUAGCCGGCCUGAGAGGGUGACGGGUACCUUGGGGACGGGAUUACGCCCAGACUCCUACGGGAGGCAGCAGUGGGGAAUAUUGCACAAUGGGCGCAAGCCUGAUGCAGCGACGCCGCGUGAGGGAUGGAGGCCUUCGGGUUGUGAACCUCUUUCGCUCAUGGUCAAGCCGCAACAAUGGUUGUGGUGAGGGUAGUGGGUAAAGAAGCGCCGGCUAACUACGUG
rnacentral:rRNA from 1 species